rnacentral:rRNA from 1 species
UACGUAGGGUGCGAGCGUUAAUCGGAAUUACUGGGCGUAAAGUGUGCGCAGGCGGCAGAGCAAGUCGAGUGUGAAAGCCCCGGGCUUAACUUGGGAAUUGCGCUCGAAACUACUUUGCUGGAGUGUGGCAGAGGAAGGUGGAAUUCCACGUGUAGCGGUGAAAUGCGUAGAGAUGUGGAGGAACACCAAUGGCGAAGGCAGCCCUCUGGGCCAACACUGACGCUCAUGCACGAAAGCGUGGGGAGCAAACAGGA